GCAAACGUUACCAUGAGCACAAAAGCAAAACAAGGUUUAAAAAAGUGAUACAUUGCCAGGCAUUUUGGCAAGAUUUCCUUGGAUCCAGACUGUGUUUUGCACUGUUUCAGUUGAAAAGAAGAGCAGCGCUCCUGCCCGCCACAUGUGAUGGAAUUUGGAGAUUAAAUAAAUAAUGGCAUUAAUGAUCUAAAGGGUUUACUGAGUGCAUCGCAAUAUUUGCCUUAUUACCGCAGAUUUGUUUGUUUGUUUAGCUGUUUAUUUUAAUUGUGUCUUUUCCUUUUUUUAAGUGUCAGCAGUUCACGUUUUGGCACCAGAUGGAGGCUUUCUUUUGGUGAAAUGCCACCGUGUCAUUCAGCCGAGCUUUGAGCCUUUGAAUGUUCGCGCAGCAUGGCCUGAUGCUGGAUGUGUAGGUCCACGACCGGGAUCGGACCCCGUGAACCCCAGGCCACGAAAAUGGAGCGCAAAGUCAACCACUACACCAUCAGGCCUGCCCCUCAAAAAGUUUUAAAGAACGUUGAGCUUUAAAAUGUUUCGAAGCCCCGAGGCUGGGAGCAGAUCCAGAGAGCUGGACUGCCUCCUCUGCAGUCUGGACCGUCUGCGUCUUUACAGAGCACCUCCCACCGUGAAGCACAAGGCCCCUCCCUGCUCACUGGAAUGAAAUGAUCGUCCUAAGAGGUCAACUUGCUUAAUUAUAUUUAAUUCCCCCAACUUUCUCCUGUGGCAGGAGGUAAAAUGCCACUGGAUAUGGCUUUUCUCUUGAAAGUACGUGGAAGAGCUGUGUUGGAGGGUCAGAAUAAGUGGUGUGUCUAUCCCUAGUUAGAGGAGGUCGCCUUUCAGUUGUGGUGGACUGAGGCCAUCGGCCACCAGAACAAGCCAUCUCUUGCUUUACUGUAGAACCAGCUGUAACAUCUAGAACGUGUUGCUCCUCUUUUCCUAAGGACUCAGAAUAUACCCACGAAGUUACUUCAAAUAGAGUCUAUUGUAAUCGUCAAAUAAGCCGAAUGUCGCUAAAUAUACCCGCUGUUAUUUUAGUCUUUAUUUGUAUAUGAUGAUUUAAUUUUCAUUGACUUGGAUGUGCUGUAGUGUAAAGCGCUCUGACUUCCCACCGCGGGUGGAGAGGGAACGACGAUGCUGAAGCGCACAGAGCCGUCACCGGGGGCGGGUUGACUCGAAGCAUGCAGGCAGACAUACGGGCCUCAUGUGUGCCCACCAUCCAAGGGAGAGGAGAAGCCGAGAGAGGAAGCCUGCACUGGAAGAAGGAAAGAGACAACGAGACAGAGAGAGGCCCACGCAGUCUGUGUGGAGAAAGGAGAUUUGAUCAGAGAAAUCACAAAGCAGGAUCCAGACGCCCUGACAGCUACUGGGCAGUUACUGAGACUCAUUCUUAUCAACUGAGGUGGAGCACAAAAUUAAGCAAUACUAAGGCGAGGCCAAUUCUAGGAUAGAUAUAUGAAAUGACAGAAAACUAUUUGUUUUACCUUUUUUUCCUCCCUGUGUGUGAUGCAUUUAUUUAUAUUUGAAAUGGAACGCAGUAAUUUAUCUUAUCUUUAUUCUACACCUGAAGUCAUCCUCUUCCUCCUCAAAUUAGCAUCUCCUCCUGAAUUUUCUCUCUCAUUUGGGGCUCCUUUGGAGCGAGGCCCUCCAACUUGAACCCCUGAAAAUCUAAGAUAGCUACGAUCCUGCUCACUCCGUAACAAGGCUCCCUAAUUGUUUUUUCGUGAAGAAACAACACUGAUGUUCCAGUCAAGACAUAACAUUGCCCCGGGAAGCAAUUAUUAUUAUUUUUUUAAUAUCAGCUUUAUUAAGAUAUAUAUAUAGGGGCCGGCCCCAUGGCCGAGUGGUUAAGUUCGUGUGCUCUGCUUGGGCAGCCCAGGGUUUCACUGUUCACUGGUUUGGAUUCUGGGCACGGACAUGGCACCACUCAUCAGGCCAUACUGAGGUGGCGUCCCACAUGCCACAACUAGAAGGACACACAACUAAAAAUAUACAACUAUGUGCUGGCAGGUUUUGGGGAGAAAAUGUAAAAAUAAAAUAAAUUAAAAAAUAUAUAUAUAUAUAUACAUGUAUCUUAUAAUAUAUAUAUGUAUCAUAAAAUUCACCAUUCUUUAAAGUGUACAAUUUAGGAGUAUUUAGUAUAUCCACAGAAUUGUGCGACCAUCAUCAACAUCUCAUUGUAGAACAUCUUUAUUACCCCCCAAAAAACCCUGUACCCUUUGGUGGUCACUCCACAAUCCCUCCAUCCCCACCCCUGGCAACAGCUAAUCCACUUUUUCCCUCUAUGGAUUUGCAUAUUCUGGAUAUUUCCUAUAAAUGCAGUCACACACGUGGACUUUUUGUUUGGCUUCUUUCACUUAGCAUAAUGUUUUUGAGAUUCAACCGUGUUGUAGCAUGUAUUAGUAUUUCAUUCCUUUUUAUGGCUGAAUAAUAUUUCAUUCUGUACACCAAGUUUUGUGUACCCAUUCAUCAGUUGAUGGACAUUUCAAUUGCUUUUACUUCUUGGCUAUUGUGACUAAUGCUGCUGUGGACACUUAUUCACAAGUUUUUGUGUGGACAUGUGUUUUCAGUUCUCUUGGGUAUAUACCCAGGAAUAGAAUUAUUGGGUUACGUGACAACUCUACAUUGAACAUUUUGAGAAACUUCCAAACUGUUUUCCAAAGUGUCUGCACCAAUUUACAACUAAUGAAUGAGGGUUCCAAUUUCUCCACAUCCUCAUCAACAUUUGUUAUUACCUGUCUUUUUUAUUUUAG
rnacentral:lncRNA from 1 species